GCAGCUCAACGGCCGGCGGCAGGGGCAGGAGGAGGGGGGCGGCGGCCGGGGGCCCGGAAACGGCCCGAUUGCGGGGAUCCGGGCCGGACUCCGUACCUGGGCGGGAGACGAGGCGGAGACGGCGGUCGGGCUCCGCGAAUCAGAGGAGAUACGAUUAUAAGGAAGCAAGAGUGGCAGCAAGGAGACCGGUGAGGUCAAACAGAAAGACUCCAGCCAAAUGGGACCGGUUGAGAUUCUGGCUCUGACACUAGACAAGUAACCUGGGGCAGCACACUUAGACCUCCCCACUUCAGCCUCGGUCUCCUCAUCUACAAAGACGCUAAUGAGACAGUGUUUAAUGUAGUAUUUGACACCAACAUUUGCCCUUCGAAAUUAGAACCUGUGGCAGCCGGCCUCCAAGAUGGCCCUCGAUGACGCUCACCUCCUGGUACCACGCCCUAGCUCUCUGUCCCAGUGAAUAGGGCUGCGGAAGCGACGCGAUGUUGUGGAAAUGAGGGUGUACGACUUCUGAGGGGAGGUCAUAAAAGACAGCUCGAUCUCUUCCCCAGAGGGAGUACAUGGAACUGUGCCUGCAUCCCGCAUAAUGCAGACAGCGGAGCCCAUGCCCAGCAAAGAGGAGCAGCACAAGAUAAAUUUCCCGUGAUGACUAUAACUAAAAGAGCCUGACUUGCUGAAAGACACUUUCCUAACAACCAUGACAAAAGACCUUUGGGGAGACUCAGCCAAAAAGCCAAGGCCGGCCACAGCCCGGCACUUCUGCUCCCAGCUGUGUGCACAACAAAAACCAGUACGGAUGGUCCCUAAAGAACACACACUGGCAUGGGCACAGCAGCCCCAACUGGGACACUCCCCGAGUGUCCAUCCGUGGGGAACGGAUGACUGCGGUGCAUGUGCGCUGUGAGGCACUACUCAGCAGUGGAACGGAGUAAGCCAAGGACGCAGGCCACAACACGGAUGACUCUCACUGUGCUUGUGAGCAGCGGAGCACCGCUGUAUGAUUCCAUUUAGAUACAGUCCUGCAACAGGCAGACCAAUCUAGGCUAUGAGAGGUCAGGAGAGUGGUCACCCUUGCUGGGGAGCAGUGACCGGAAGGGGGCAAAAGGAGUCUUCCGGGUGCUGACAACAUUGUGUGUCUUGAUCUGAGAACUGGUCGCAGGAGGUGGGUUCGGUCUGUAAAGAUUUGCUAAGCUGUCCACUUAACAGUACGUGCUCAUUUCUGUGUG